rnacentral:rRNA from 1 species
UGGCGAACGGGUGAGUAAUGCGUGAGCAACCUGCCUUUCAGAGGGGGACAACAGUUGGAAACGACUGCUAAUACCGCAUAAUGUAUCCGAUAGGCAUCUAUUGGAUACCAAGGGAGCAAUCCGCUGAGAGAUGGGCUCACGUCUGAUUAGCUAGAUGGCGGGGUAACGGCCCACCAUGGCGACGAUCAGUAGCCGGUCUGAGAGGAUGAACGGCCACAUUGGGACUGAGAUACGGCCCAGACUCCUACGGGAGGCAGCAGUGGGGAAUAUUGGGCAAUGGGCGAAAGCCUGACCCAGCAACGCCGCGUGAAGGAAGAAGGCCUUCGGGUUGUAAACUUCUUUUAUCAGGGACGAAGGAAGUGACGGUACCUGAUGAAUAAGCCACGGCUAACUACGUGCCAGCAGCCGCGGUAAUACGUAGGUGGCGAGCGUUGUCCGGAUUUACUGGGUGUAAAGGG